rnacentral:rRNA from 1 species
AUUGAACGCUGGCGGCAUGCCUAACACAUGCAAGUCGAACGGCAGCUCGGUAUUCGGCCUGGCUGCGCGUUGCACAGUGGUGAGUAAUGGAUCGAGACGUGCGCAGGUAACGUGGCUAGCACGGCGAAAUCAGGAUUAAUACCGCAAACGACCAGAGGAUAAAAGCGAGUAACCCAAGGGCCUCGCGCUAUUGGAGCAGCCGAUGUCGUAUUAGCUGGUUGGUGGGUGAAAGGCUUACUAGGGCGACGAUCCGUAGCUCGUCUGAGAGGAAGACCAGCCAAACUGGGACUGAGACACGGCCCAGACUCCUACGGGAGGUAGCAGUGGGGAAUUUUGGACAAUGGGGGCAAUCCUGACCCAGCCAUGCCGCGUGGUGGAAGAAGUCCUUCGGGUUGUAAACCGCUUUUGUUGGGGAAGAAAGCCUCUGGGGUAAUACCCCGGGGGUAUGACGGUACCGGAAGAAUAAGCACCGGCUAACUACGUG